UCUUCGUGGAAAAUGUAUUUUCGCUUUAGCUAGUAAAAACAAAACAGCUGGUAAAUCGAAAGUAACAAUAAAUUGUCUUGAUCUUCCUCUUAUUUCUGUUAGGUAAAUUUUAUCAGACUGUUUUAAAUGUAUUGAAAGGAUAUUUCACGAAAUAUCCACACAAGUCUUUUUAAGAAAAAAAAUCAUGAACGUUAUCAUUUUAUGUGACUACCUUAAACUGGUAUGCUACAUGACGUUAAAUGUUACAUUGUAAACAAAUCAUAAGGAUUACCUGAGCCUGCCUAAUUUUUAUCAAUUGUAAGCAGGGCACCAGAUAAUACAGCGGAAGUGAAAAGGAAGACCUUCGUUGACAGGAUUUUGAGAAAUUGCUAGGGAUAAAGGACCACCCGUAAUGUUGAAAAAGAAACCCACAUGAUGUAACUAUAAUUUCGGGGGACAACAAAACCAGAAAUAGGUUUCAGAACUUUCUAGGGACAACUAAACCACAAUACUUAGUAUACAUCAGAACUUUUUAGGGACAACCAAAACACAAGUAUGCAUUAGAACGUUCUAGGGACAACCAAACCACAAGUAUAGAGCAGAACAUUCUAGGGACAACCAAACCACAAGUAUAGAGCAGAACAUUCUAGGGACAACCAAACCACAAGUAUACAGCAAAACUUUCUAGGGACAACCAAACCACAAGUAAACAUUAGAACGUUCUAGGGACAACCAAACCACAAGUAUACAGCAAAACUUUCUAGGGACAACCAAACCACAAGUAUACAGCAAAACUUUCUAGGGACAACCAAACCACAAGUAUACAUCAGAACGUUCUAGGGACAACCAAACCACAAGUAUACAGCAAAACUUUCUAGGGACAACCAACCCACAAGUAUACAGCAAAACUUUCUAGGGACAACCAAACCACAAGUAUACAGCAAAACUUUCUAGGGACAACCAAAACACAAGUAUACAGGUAUACAGCAGAACUUUCUAGGAACAACCAAACAACAAGUAUACAGGUAUACAGCAGAACUUUCUAGGGACAACCAAACCACAAGUAUACAUCAGAACUUUCUAGGGACUAAUAAACCACAAGUAUACAUCAGAAUUUCUAGGGACAACCAAACCACAAGUAUACAGGUAUACAGCAGAACUUUCUAGGGACAACCAAAACACAAGUAUACAGGAAUACAGCAGAACUUUCUAGGGACAACCAAACCACAAGUAUACAUCAGAACUUUCUAGGGACUAAUAAACCACAAGUAUACAUCAGAACUUCUAGAGACUAAUAAACCAUCAGGGUAUGGCAGAAUUUUCUAUGUACAAGGACACAUAAAAACGUUAUAACAGAAAUUUCUGAGUACAAAGAAACCUCCAAGGUACUCUAGAAUAUCUUGGGGACACAAAAUCCCUAGCACUGUAAAAAAAUAGAAAUGCACAGUUAUAUAAAACAACUGUUUGAUAAAUGUCUUACAGAAUUUAAUGAGAAUCUACGUAGAUGCAUUGAUACUAACAUAGCGGUUGUUGGAAAUUCAGGGACAGGGAAGUCUUCAUUUAUCAAUUCAAUUAGAGGCUUGAAGGCUAAAGAUCCCGGGGCUGCAGAAGUUGGUGUUAACGAAACCACCGUCACGUGCGUUCCAUACAAACAUCCUCUGAAUAAUAGUUUCAUUGUGUGGGAUAUUCCUGGCGUCGGAACACCAAAGUUUCCAAAACAUACAUACUUACAAAAGGUCGGGUAUGAUAAAUAUGACUUCUUUAUCAUUAUGAGCAGAAGCAGGUUUACAGAAAAUGACCUGUGGUUAGCUCUUGAAGUACAAAAGCUGAACAAAAAAUUUUUCUUUGUGCGUUCAAAUAUUGAUAAAGAUGUUGAGAACGACAGAGAGGACGAUCCAGAUAACCACAAUGAAGAGAAGGUUCUCCAAACUAUACGACAGAAAACAGAAGAUGAGCUGAAGAGUAAUGGAGUGAAAACACCUGAAAUUUUUUUAAUAAACAAUCGUCGUAGAGACAAAUACGACUUCGAAAAACUUAACAGUGAUUUGCUUUCAUUAUUUGCUACUUAAUUUAGUAACUUUAAAAAUGAAAUCUAGGAACAGCUGCAGAUAGCAUGAGAAUAAGCCAUCUUUUUGGCUUACGUAUGGUGGGUGGUUCUUAUUUUGGAAUUAUCUAAAAAGUGUAGCUACAUAGGCAUCUUAUUGUAUUCAUACAUGUUUUAGUGUUGAAAGUAUCCAAUACUGUGUUGGUACAGGCACCAAUAUCUCUCCCCAACCUCCACACAGACGUAUGCAGGAGUUUAAACUCAUCCUCGGUAACCCAGGCCAUUCAUUACGUAUACACUUCAUUGAAUAGAGAGUAACGGAAUGGAUUGGCCAGUUGGAAACAGUGAAAUCAAGAAAUCAUGAAAUCGUGAAGUUUAAUGGUGAAAUCGCGAAAUCGUGAAUUCGUGAAGUGGAAAUCGUGAAAUCAAGAAAUCAUGAAAUCGUGAAAGUUUAACCGUGAAAUCGUGGGAUCAAGAAAUUGUGAAAUCGUGAAGUUUAAUCUUGAAAUCGUGAAUUCGUGAAGUCAUGAAUUCGUGAAGUGGAAUCGUGAAAUCAGGAAGCAGAAAUCGUGAAUUCGUGAUUUCACGAAGUGGAAAUCGUGAAAUCAUGAAGCAGAAAGCGUGAAAUAAUGAAGUUGGGUCUUUCGUACCUCAAUUAAGUAUGUGAGACUUCAACUCUAUACAAUACAUUUCCAUUCAUCACAGUUUCGACACAAUCCGGUUCAACUAUAGAACCGUGGAAAAUCUCUGGAAAGUCCAGAAUGCAAAACCACUGAAAUACACUUAAAUCAUGACUGAAAAUUAGAGUCAAUGUUAACUUGUAUUGUUAAGUCUAUGCUCCAUUCAUGCUUUGUUACGAUGAUUACUAGUAUAUAUAUACUAGUAUAUACUUAUAUACUAUAUAUACUUUCAUUUUGACCGACUAAAUUAUAAAAGGGUACCUACUCAGGUAUUUUAUUGUAUCACACGAGUUUGUCUUCGUGUAUUCAGGGCGAAGGCAUGAGAGAACAAUAAACUGCCGAAGACAAGACAAAGAGGAUUAAUAUCCGACGAUGGUAUUGCCAUGGAAUAUUUUGAGUGACACGAGGGGACAAGAAGACAAGACAAAUCAGCAGUUUUUGUCUUCGCCCUGUAGAUACAAUGACACAAAAUGGAAGAUGUCAGCAAUCAGAUGUUACAUAAUAUUAUAUUUCAUAUGAAUUUUUAUUAGCUUAUAAAUUUUGUAUUAACAGUUACAAAUGAAGACUAAACAACAUACGUCAUGUUGCUUUUUUGCUUUUUGUCACAAAGUGAGAAAAAUGUACAGGUAAUCCUUGGACUCCGCUUUCAGGGCGGGUGUUCUACUUACUGAGCUUCUAGGCAUCCUCGUACCUGUUCUUCCCUAAUGUGACUAUGUAUGUACCAUCGCAUUGUUCCAAUGAAUUUGGGAACAAAACCCUUACAUUUGUAAAAUCAAUCGCAAUAAGUGGGAUAACAAGAUUUUAACUAUGCUUAUUCAACUUCAAACAUAUUUAUGAUAUGUAAAAAAAAGUAGUUAAAUGCAUUUUUGAUUAAUUGCUCCAAGAGUAACUAUACUUCAGCAGUUACCCGAGAAUACCGUUUAUCAGGAUUAUAUAGUAUCAUUUACCUGUCAGGUAUCGUAACGAUUUUGAGUAACUGAACAGUUCAUUAUUGCCUAUACUUGUUCGUUCUAACAAAUCUUUGAAAGCAUAGUACUUUCCACAAGAGUUUCUAUAUUGAUAUUUUAGUUGCAUUUUAUUUCAUGUAUUAUAUAAUAAUAAUUACUUUCCAAUUUAUUUUUCUUAUAUAUACAUGUAUAUCAGUUUAAUAAGGGCCCGGCUAAAAGAGUCACCCUCUUAUUAUGUACUUAUAUGUCCUCAUCACUACAACUUGUGUUAGAUUGAGACGAUAUAAAUCCAAGAUCAAUGUUUUAUAACAUAUUUGUUAAAAAGAUCAACAAGACAUUUUUCACUCUAAGGACUAACUUCCGAUGUCCGGGUCUUGUCCAGUGAUGUAUCGCGAUAAUUAGAUGUUGAUUCGCUUAUAAAAGUGAUAAAUAAUUACUUAUAAACAACACUUAUCUGGACGCAUUUCAAUUGCAAUCGUUAGCAAUGGCUACUAUUGAAAUAUCGGGGAAUAACUGCUACACAGACCUCCAUAUUUAUACGGACGCUUACGCAUUACCUGGGAGUAACGAGCAUUACUAUAAUUCGCUACAGCAUACAAAAGCCCCGGCGCCAGCAUCGCACAGUCGAAAAAUUUGCUAAGAGGUAACUUUUUCAAAAAUUCUAAAUUAUUAGCUGGUUUAGUUGCGGGUGUAGUUUUGGUACUGUUAGUUUGCAGUUUAUCUGCAGGAUAUGUAAGAGGAAAAGGUGCGUGUGAAAAACGUGAAAGACAGCGCUUAGAAUACCAGGACGCGACGAGAUUUAGAACAAUUACGGGGCAGCCAUUGUCGACAACUUUCGAAAGUGUCACAUCUUAUAUGUGGAAGAGAACAACUGAGAUGAGCAUAUCUACCUAUAGGACAGUAAUUACAACUGGCAGAAUCUCCACCGUAAUAGGUAUUGGUUGAUUAAGUCACCAUAUUCAAAUUUUUUUGUAUUAUCUUUAAAAGAUGAAGUAGCCGUAUUGGUGAGCUAAGUUGGGAUAAUUCUCAACUUUUCAUUUAAUAUGUCAUAUCUUUGGGCGAAUACUCUCCUUUACGAUUCGCAUUAGACAACAAGGUAUUUGUUUCCUAAGUAGACAGUUACUGGCGAAGAACAAGUUGUUACUGGUAAGAAACCCAGAAACAACAAUACUACCAUACAUUUUCAAAGUGUGAAAAGGGUGAUAAAAUUUGAGAAAUUAAUUUCAAAGUCACCUUAACAACUAAUAAUCUUUACGAACGUGUUAAUUAUAUAGAUAAAUAGCUUUUUGCGGAAAUUGGUAUACUUGUGAUAGCAACUAACGACAACUCUUGUCAUAGGUUAUAGUUAUCAAUUCAUACUUACUUUGACAACAAGUUCAUACUUUUAAACGUAUUCGAUUUGAAAAUAAUUCUUUGGACGAAUUUAGGGAGAAGUCACAAUAAAGUGUUGGUCUAAAUCCUAUACAUUUAAAAACAUUUGAUGUUUAAUCUGUUGUGAUAAAAAGGACAUACAAUGACUAAUUUGAAAGUUAUCUUCUCUUUUUUUGAGAUCACAUGCUUCAUCCAUUUUGUGCGGACAGAGAAUUUAAGUGACAAAAUUCAACGCUAACUUGGACGGGAAAACGUUCAGAAUUUACCGGCUAACAGACCAGAAACACUGGCAUUAUGACGGAUGCUGCAAUAAAUUUGUUUCCGGGAUAUGGCAGCCAAAGGACAUGUACACCCUUUUCAAAUUUAUCAAAAUGUCUGACGGCUCCUUCAAAAUUCAGUCAGGACCUAGGCGAGUGUACAUGUUUGAUGGCCAUGGUGUUAAGGGAGCACGGUCCACUUAUUUGAAUGGAAUGGACAACAUUGAUGAUGAUCACAUGCGUUUUCUCGUUACUAUGGAGACUUUAGACACUUGUAGAAUCCGCACUUAAGCAACAGGGCGCUACCUCAGGAUGGAUAAUAAUCUACAUGUGACAUCAAUUUUGAAUAUCAAGGACAGAAAUUCUUUAUUUCGUUUAGACGAAGUUCAAUGAACGUUUCUAUUUAUUUACACAUAAGGACCACAGCGAGCAUUUAUUUAUCAGAACUAUUGCCGAUAGCAGCCACAACGUUAAAUCAUCAAGUCCGGUUAAACAUAGGCACCAAAAAUGUGACAACACUGCAUCUUAUGAAUUCUUUUUCAUGUUGUAUUGCAAUGUUCUUUGUAUUGUUAUUUUUACAAACCCAUUUUAUUUUGUACUAGAUUCUGGGGCGGUACGAUUUCGAUUUGCACUGCAAUUGUUAACCUUUUUAUUCAGGAUUCACCUUUCGAUAAAAUCGCAAUACUAUUGAUUUUGCUAAUUAAUUGUCUCUGAAUUUCUCCUUUUUACUUUAAAUAGUAUUUGCUUACUAUAGAACAAAUGUAAAAUAUGUGUAUAAAACUAAUUCAUGUAGAUAGUUAUGUAACAAAAAUGUGUAUUACCUUUGCAUCGAGAAAUAUGCACUCGUCCUUUAAGAAUACUACAUUUUGUAUUGUGAUCCAAUAGUCGCUACCGCAAUAUUUCCGCUGCCGAACUCGUGCAAGCUUCUCGAUGCAAAGCAAAAAGACCUAUAAAUACAUAUCGAUUUUAUACACACACGCAGAUGAUGACAUGUUUACGCUGUUGGUUGUUUGCAAUAGGAAUUAAAUUACUGUGCCUUGUUGCCAACAACGACCUUGUCCUUGGGCAUGAACGGAUCAUCUAUAAUUCAUUAGAAGUUCUUUAAGUAGUGAAGCUGUAAUAACAGGUUUAGUAUGAUUGCGUAUUCUCGUUAUGCAGUUCGGCGUUCUUCGGACGUAGGCGUAGUUGAACGUGCACACGACGUUCCGUAAACCCUGAGGAGAACCGAAAUUGCAUACGGAAAAUACGUUAAUUUUUGAAUGUCAUUUCAGGUCCAAUUACUUAAAGCAACCAACUUGUGGCAGAUUUACACACCACUGAUUCUGCCUUUGCGACCAGUGCAGAUCAUGAUCCGCCUGCACAAUCAUGCAGUCUGAUUAUGAUCUGCACUGUUCGUCAUUCAGUCAGUAACUUUUUGGUUUGCACCUCUUUAUAGCAGUUAAUGGUACUGUCCAAAUUUAAAGAUGGACAGGUUCAUUAUAGAAAUUUAGCAGGUUUAAGAAAUGUCCGGAAUUUUGUUAUAUACUUAUUUAACCUACAAAUAGCAAUGUCCUCAUUUUGUCUGUUUUAACGUCACACUCUAUGACGCAAUCAAAGGUAAUAUGCCGACUUUCCAACUUUUUAUGGUGGAAGCAGACCUCAUAUGCCCUCGUAUUUUUUCCCAGUGAACAGAUGUAUCGUGCUGUAUAGAUUGUUUUUAGAUAUUAAUUCUGCAAGAACUUGUGAUACAUAUAUAUAGAAUUUCUGCUCGCAAUAACUUUAGUUGUGGUUUAAAUUGCUUGCUAUACUUUCUGUACUCCUGAAUAAACGUAUUUUAACCAAAACAUCUUCCCACUCUACACAAGUCCCUUCCCCCUCAUCCUCCCGAAGCCUUACUCUGCAGAACACAAAAUGCAAAGAGAACAUAAUUUUGCAAAAACUCGAUGGUGGAUAAUAGUUUAGUUUAAUCAUAUUUUAUUGCAUAUCUUCACUAUAUACAUAAAAUAUACAUAUCUAAUACAAAAGUGUGAAAAUAGCAAAUGGGUUGGACUUUAUAUUAUACUAACAAUGUACAACAGCCCUUCCCACAGCGUCUGAUAAUUUGUAGAUAAAAACUAAUGGCGGUUUUAUAGUUUAAAGAAAUGAAGAAAAACACCUAGAUAAUGUUUCAAUUACACAACGAAAAAAAAAGAGAAAAAGAAAUAAAUAAAAAUAGAAAUAAAAAGGAAAAAUUGACUAAAUUAAACUGUGGUUGUACUUCUAUUACAAUGUCACCGACGCGACCGACCGCCCCUCCCCCCACCCCUCCCCCGAUGUUCGAUCCUCUGCUGAGCUAGAUACUACAUGUAUUCUGUGACCAGGAAGCGCUAUAAUUAUACUCGUUAAUAGAAUCGUCCUGUAUUUUUUAUGUAUACUUGACGUCAUUAAAAAUCUGUUCAUUUUGUGAGUCAGUCAAAUUAUCUGCACCAAAAAGAAGUUUGAGUGAGCUUAAGGGAAAGAGCGAAUACUUUGAAAGAGUUGUAGCCUUGCAUUUCGAAACCGGUUACAUAUGAAAAAGAAAUGUUCUGCAUCUUCAACUUCAUUUCCACAUGCGCAAACAGGAUCAUCUCUGAGAUGGUUUGUAAAAAGGUCAAAAUUUAAGUUGCUGCACCUAUUUCUCAUGCGUGCGUGAUGAACUGAAUGUAAUCUUUCUCCGUAUAAAAAGUAUUAAGGUGCAUUUGGUGGUUUGGAGAUAUUUUUUAACUGGGAUUUGAAAGAAGCAAGUGUCGGUGAAUCGCGGAUAUCAUUAUCGAGUUCAUUCUAUAGAUUCAGUGAUGACGAGAUGAUAGAUUUAGAGUACAUUUCAGUACGCCUUGGUAGAGGAUAAUAGUUAUUGCUAUCUAACGAAUUUCUGUCGCAAAAUGAUUUAAAUACUUGAAAGGGAACAGAAAAAGAGACAUAAUAUAAACGAUGAAAUUAUUCAAAUUAUAAUAAUUCUUGUAACGCUUUGCAUUUCGCUUUUUGUCAUUGUUAUGUCAUUUUUACAGACAAUUCCAAAGUUACCAUCCGGACAAUUACACCAAUAAGAUAGAACAAUAUAUUUAAAGAGUAAACGUAUUAGAGAAACGUUGCGAUUUUCGCGCCCUGUGUUUUCUCUUUUAGCCUAAAGUUCGCUUUUCUGGAGAAAAUAAGAGAUUCCAAUAUCUAAAUAUAACAUUGCAUGAAAGUUUUGGACCAUGGUAACUUUCGGUUUCAUAAGCAUUAACCUAUUUAAUUAACCAGUGGUAAAACACAGUGAUAAAGGACAAAGUUACUCAUAUUGCAAUUAGGUUUCCCACGUAUGUUUCAGGUAACUUUCGGUUUCAUAUCUUUCAGUACAUUCAACUGUAAGAUUAUAUCAGUUUCUUAAUGAACGAUUUUCUAUUACCUUCGGUAAAACUGGUCAGGUAGCUUAUCCUACGAAUAUUUCACAGAUAUCAGACAGGAGGUCUUUUCACAAAAGCUGAAAUGGGUGCUUCAAGUUCAAGCUCAAGUAAUUCUGGCAGUAGCAGUGGUACUAAAAAGGGAGAAGACUGGACCUUUAAGAUAUAUUUUGACCCUGAUGCAGACAAAAGCUCAGGAGCAUUCUAUGAAAUUGAGGAUUCUGAACUGAUUGAAAAACUAACUGAUCUUGUAGAUGCCGACGAAGAUAUAAUCAACAUCCGUGCAUAUAAGCAAAAGCUGUGGUCGUGGCAACUUACGCAACUUUUGUUCUGUCAUAUGUUUAUUAUGUUUGAAACAGACGAUUGGUGGUGGUCAAUUGAAAAGAACUCUGAAGGAAUUACCAUACAAAGAAGUAAAAAGAUAGAAGCUGUGAAGGAACAAUACAGGCGAACGAAACGGAAUACCAUAAAACUGAUGGAAGAGGAUAAAGGAAGAAAAAGUAUGCUGGAUUUGAUUAAAUGGCUUUACAAAGAAAACGAACUGAACAAAAAGUACGAUUAUCUGUCAAGCAAUUGCAAACAUUUUGCCAAGGCGGUUUUUGAUCAUGUAGCUAAGAAUAAAUUUUUGUAAAUAUGUGCAUUUAGAUGUUGUGUGAAUUAGAAAACAGUUCAUAUUACUUAAUACAUAGCUUGGCAUUUCGAUUUAUCAAUAUGAAAAUUCGACUUACUUUCUAGCCAUGAAGUUGAAAUUUCGAGUUACAGAAUCGAAAUUUCUUGUUAGUAAGUCGGAAUUUUGAGUCAAUGAAAAAUACGCACCUGGUCGUAUGGUCUUCCGCCAAACAAUGAUAAACACCAUGCAUGAGGAAACGAAAUGAUUUUAACUUAAAGAUAUGAAAUUAUAAUGAAUGAAAUUCGAUUGGUACAGUCGGAAGUACGGAUAAAGCGUUCGUGUGUGUAGUUUAUCAACCGAAACAUGUAAUUAUAGAUUUACACGUUUGGCGGCAAAAUUUUAAGUCGCGCGCAGUCUGCGAAAGUAUUUGCCACACCCUUUAACAAGUUUACUAGUUAUACUCGUUUGAAUUGCUGCACACAGACCUAAGAUUGAAACAUGUGUCACGCAUGAACACCAGAUGCAUUUCUUUCGCGAGUGGCAAAUAUCUAAAAUAUUUUAAAUCAAACUGGUAAAACAUAUAUUUGGAUGCACCAAGGAACAAUAAAUUUGACUCAUACGGAAAAAAUGUUAAGAGAACACUUAUUGACCAGUUUAUUCAGAAAUGGCACGGGCAACUUGCAAAUUCUUCAAAAGUUCUUAACUACAGACUACUCAAAAGGUGAAAUUAAAUUUAAACAAUAUUUAAGUAUACUUCCAGACAACCUACGUUACUCACUUUUUCAUUUUAGGACGGGAAAUCAUAGGUUCCCUGUAGUAACGGGUCGGUGGCGUAACUCAAACCUCCCAUAUGAAGCCCGUAAAUGUAAUCUGUGCAGUCUAAAUGAAGUUGGCGAUGUGUUUCACUACCUCUUUGUAUGCCCAUUUUUUUUGCAUCCAAAGAAAACGCUAUAUACCAAGUUACUACAACAAGAGGCCGAAUACUUUGAAAUUUAAGGAAUUGAUUUCAAGAGGACACUUACCUCUCCUUAGAAAUAUAGCACUAUUUGUACGUUGUAUUAUGCAUCAUUUAAAUUGUAAGUUAGGUAGAAUAGAAAAUUGAAAGUGUAUUUAUAUUUCAACUCACCCGAACAUAUGUAUGUAAUCCAAAUUAAGAAUAUUGUCUUCAAAGAAUUAGCACUUUUCCUUUCAUAAAGCAUUCCCAGGAAAUGGUCUCUUUUUGUUUUGCUAUAGUUUUACUAUAUUGUUUUGAAGUGAGCGUAACUCUUGACACACUUUUGUGCUAUUUCAAUCACGACCGAGAAUGUCAUUCAUAAUCUCCGCAGUAAGCGAGAUUUUCAUGCAAAAGUACUAUCGUAGUACGGUUGUAGAUUUUUUCCCACGAUAACUGACCGUAUUUUCGCAUGGUCCGCGCAUGUGUAUUCAAUAUUGCUGUGUAUACAAUGUACCUGUAUUUUAGUGAGGAACUGUUAUUUUUUCUUUUACCUUUCUCUUAUCUUAACUGUUUUGACAUCUGUAAUUAUCUAUAAUUUUAAGGCGAUUAGGCUGUAUUUAUUUGCAAAAUAAUUCCAUCUAUCUGUAAACAUUAACAAUAUGCUUUGUUGAUGACAAAAUAACUGUCCCCAUAUUCAUUACAGAAAACUAUCUAAUUGUAUUAUUGCUAAGAAAAACCCACACAUUAUUUGCUUUAUUCAGUCAUAUAUACCGUUACAUUAUGUGACCUGACUUAAAUAAAAGUAAUUGUUGUUGUUGUUGGCACAGCCAUGAGUGAAUAUGUAAGAUAAUAAGAUAUGGCGUCAUGAAUUAAAGAUAUUUUGAUUUUACAUGUAAAAAAAAAAAAGGAAUUUCUUUUCAUUUCAUGUCUGGACUAAAUUUACCCACCAGUGAAAAAUACAAUUGAUACGUUUCGCUUUGAAUAUAUGAGAUAUAUUUUACUCUAGUAUUUCGACAUUUCACUAAAUAGAAAAACAUGCAAUAAAAUUGCUGAGUACAUAAUCGUGGUAUGAAAAUAUAGCUAAUACAUUAUUUAGAGAAAAUGAAAAGAAAGUGCAAACAAGUCUUGUAGCAUUUCUAUUUUGUUAUGCAUAACAAAUAAUUUUAUUUUAUUAUUUGUAACAACUCUUGUUUUGUAUGCCGCAAUGAAUAUCACAAGUGAUGUUUCUAUUGUUUCUAUUCAAAUAGAACAGAACAGAACAAAAGUUUAUUCAGUAAUUUGUACAUAUAGUACCUCAUUACAUAAUAUACAUUUACAUAUAAGAUAUGAUCAUGUGGCAAAGUUAUUGAAAAUUUAAAAUUUAAAAUGGAGAACGGAUCGUAACAAGCCGUAACGGGCUGAUCUUUUUACCCCAAGACACCCUAGAACACCCCAAAACAUAGCAACCACCAUGACACCCAGCAUCAAAAUAACUGUGAGUGGAUAACUAUAUAACAUGAUAACUCAAGGGGAACAAUCCAAAACCGCUUAACUGUAAAUAAAGAUGUUGCAGUUAUUUCCCUUUCAAUUGGUGCAAUUUGACAGACAAACAAACCUAAAAAUGUACACUGGGAGGUCCCGGGGCAAAAAGACCCGCGAAUCGUAACGGUCUUGAAAAUAAAGAUGAUGAUGUUGCGAAUGAACACAAAAAACGUUACAAUAACAACAUCAGUGAUUACUAUUCAAUAUUGAUAUGGUAACAUAAACUGUCUGAAAGAAUGAACUAUGUAUAAUUCACUAUGACAAAAAAAUAACUAGUUGUUAGUACUGCUGGUAUUAAUGUUUCCAUGCAGGUAUAAUUGUCAAUACUUUUAUGCAAUGUGGGAUGAACACAAUUAAUAAUUUCAAUUACCGUAUACACAUGAAACAAUCAUAUCAACACUACAAAUAGAGCUGCUUUUGAGAAAAGGGAAUGCCUCCCACAACUGCCUAGUCAUUUAAAUUGCAAGUCAAGUCUUUAUAUACAGAUUACUCACAACAAUUCAAGGGCCCAAACUCCGCUUUGGCUCAUUAUCGAACUUGUCCGAGGUCUUACUGUCAAACACAUUGUAUACAAAUUUGGCGAAGAUCGUAUUGGAAUAUUCAAAUUAGAGUGCUGACAACAGCAAAAGAGCCGAUUUUUCGGUAAUUCAAGGGCCAUAACUCCAAAAUGCCUGAACCGAUUUGGCUAGGUAUUCAACUUGGCCCUUUAUGGUCAAACACAUUUCGUUCAAGUUUGGUGGAGAUCGGAUAAGAAAUGUUCGGCUUAAAUUGCGGACAAGAGCAACAAGGCCGAUGUUUCGGUAAAUCAAUGGCCGUUACUCCAAUAUACCUGGACCGGUUUAGCUAGUUAUCGUUGACUUAAAGUGCGGACAAGCUUUGUGACAGACAGACAGACAGACAGACACACACUAUUCAAAUAUAUUACAUAUAAUAUGUCAUUAUAUCAAUGAAAAAUGCCACAUUAACUUUGUAUUUGUUAUUGUGUACGCUAUUAAGAAUAAUUUGUGAAUGAUAAUUUUGUACAGAAGUUGUGAAAAUAAAAACACUGAAUAUCA